rnacentral:ncRNA from 1 species
GAUCUUAUCAUAACCAGGUAUAUAAAUGACCGAACCGGUGUUCGUUGCAAAGAGCUCGGAUGAGUGGUGAUAAGGGGUGAAAGACCAAAUCUAACUAGGAUAUAGCUGGUUUUCCGCGAAAACUAUCUUAGUAGUUAGUCCAUCUUAAACUUUAUAACAGGUACAGCAAGAUGUCUCAUACUUUCGUAUAAAACCGUUAGUUAUAUUUGGGGGUUUGUAGUGACUCUACCUUUGAGAUUUAGACUCGGAAUGGUUUAUAAGAAUAAUGGACAAUCAGACUUACGGUGCUAAGGUCGUAAGUCAAAAGGGAAACAGCCCAGAACAAAUGGUUAAGGUUCCAAAAUUAUUGCUAAGUGAAAUUAAGGUAGUAAUUCUCCCAAUCCACCCAGGAAAUGGGCUCGGAAUCGGCCACUUUUUAAAGAACACGUAAUAGUGCACUGGUUCAGACGAAUGCCAGCCGGGGUUUUUUUUUUAACCCCUCAAAGUUCCACACUACCAGCUAGC